UACGUAGGGUGCGAGCGUUAAUCGGAAUUACUGGGCGUAAAGCGUGCGCAGGCGGUGCGCCAAGCUCGAUGUGAAAGCCCCGGGCUUAACCUGGGAAUUGCAUUGAGGACUGGCGUGCUCGAGUGCGGCAGAGGGGGGUGGAAUUCCACGUGUAGCAGUGAAAUGCGUAGGGAUGUGGAGGAACACCGAUGGCGAAGGCAGCCCCCUGGGCCGACACUGACGCUCAUGCACGAAAGCGUGGGGAGCAAACAGG
rnacentral:rRNA from 1 species